rnacentral:rRNA from 1 species
GAUGAACGCUGGCGGCGUGCUUAAUACAUGCAAGUCGAGCGAACAGACGAGGAGCUUGCUCCUCUGACGUUAGCCGCGGACGUGUGAGUCACACGUGUAUAACCUCCCUAUAAUAGUGGGAUCACUUGGGGACUCCGGCGCUUAUCCCGGAUAAUAUAUUGCACCGCAUGGUUGAAUAGAAAGAUUCGGCUUUGGUGUCAGUACUAGAUGGAUCUGCGCCUCAUUAGCUGGUUGUUAAGGUAACGGCUUACGAAGGCGACGAUGCGUAGACGACGGGAGAGGGGGGUAGGCCACAUUGGAGGGUGGCCACGGUCCAGAGGCCUACGGGACGGCGCAGUAGGGUAUCUGCCGCAAUGGGGGAAAGUCUGACGGAGUGAGGCGGCGUGAGUGAUGAAGGUCUUCGGAUCGUAAAACUCUGUUAUUAGGGAAAAACAAAUGUGUAAGGAACUAUGCACGUAUUGACGGUACUGAAUCAGAAAGCCACGGCUAACUACGUG